UACGAAGGGGGCUAGCGUUGCUCGGAAUUACUGGGCGUAAAGCGCGCGUAGGCGGCUUUGUAAGUUAGAGGUGAAAGCCCGGGGCUCAACCCCGGAACUGCCUUUAAAACUGCAUCGCUUGAAUCCGGGAGAGGUGAGUGGAAUUCCGAGUGUAGAGGUGAAAUUCGUAGAUAUUCGGAGGAACACCAGUGGCGAAGGCGGCUCACUGGCUCGGUACUGACGCUGAGGUGCGAAAGCGUGGGGAGCAAACAGG
rnacentral:rRNA from 1 species